rnacentral:rRNA from 1 species
AUGGAUGGUAUAAAGAUGAUCGACAUCGAAGUCGGAGAUGCCGGCGACGUCCAAGUCCGAGCACAACCCGACCGGCCUCAGAUGUGGACAUGGAUACAAAGGAUUUGUAUACCGUCCCAUGACUUCCCUAAUCCCGAUGGACUCACCGCAGCCGCGGAGCCCGAGCAAUGCAGCAGAUGUGCGUGUUUGUGCUACGCGGUCCUUGUCGAGCUUGUUAUCAUCACCAUUUUUUUCACCCUGAUGUUACUCGUCGUACAGUUCCACCCGGCAACCUUUGCCGGUCGAGCAUUGCGUGUUAUUGGACAUGUCGUGGGUAUGAUAGGCCUGUUCGUUGUCGUGUCUGGAUUCAUGCUUGUGUGCCGUUUUCUAACCGAGGCAAUUAUUGGGAAUCCCGAGGGGUAUAGACUGAUUGAUUUAUUAUUCAUGUAG